rnacentral:other from 1 species
GGCGGGCUGCCCGGUUUGUGAGGAACAUUUUUCCCAGGGCCUAUAAUCGAUCUUUAGGGAGCUGUCCCUGGGCUGGACCGUGGUCCGGCUUAAACGGCACCCACCUACGUGAGUAGGGACCAGGGAUCGUCAGUUUCCACGGCCCAUGGUGGCUCGCCG